UAAUAUUUUGAUUAAUGGGUUUUGUUUGAGGAAUAAGUUUGAUGAGGCGAUGGAGGUGUUGAAGAGUAUGGGGGAGUAUAAUUGUUUGCCGGAUAGUGUCACGUAUAAUACCUUGUUGGAUGCUU
rnacentral:miRNA from 1 species